rnacentral:tRNA from 1 species
GGAGAGGUGCCAGAGUGGUCGAAUGGGCUUGUCUCGAAAACAAGUGUGGCAGAAAUGCUACCGCGGGUUCGAAUCCCGCCCUCUCCG